UACGUAGGGGCCUAGCGUUGUCCGGAUUUAUUGGGCGUAAGCGCACGCAGGCGGUCUCUUAAGUUUCGAGUGACAGGUGGUGGCUCGACUGCCACAGGCCUUGGAAAACUGGGAGACUUGAGGACUUCAGAGGGAUGCGGAAUUCCAGGUGGAGCGGUGAAAUGCGUAGAGAUCUGGAAGAACACCAAAGGCGAAGGCAGCAUCCUGGGAAGUAACUGACGCUCAUGUGCGAAAGCUAGGGAGCGAACGGG
rnacentral:rRNA from 1 species